rnacentral:rRNA from 1 species
UGGGGAAUAUUGGACAAUGGGCGCAAGCCUGAUCCAGCCAUGCCGCGUGAGUGAUGAAGGCCUUAGGGUUGUAAAGCUCUUUAGUCCGGGAAGAUAAUGACUGUACCGGAAGAAUAAGCCCCGGCUAACUUCGUGCCAGCAGCCGCGGUAAUACGAAGGGGGCUAGCGUUGCUCGGAAUCACUGGGCGUAAAGGGCGCGUAGGCGGACUUUUAAGUCGGGGGUGAAAGCCCAGGGCUCAACCCUGGAAUUGCCUUCGAUACUGGGAGUCUUGAGUUCGGAAGAGGUUGGUGGAACUGCGGGUGUAGAGGUGAAAUUCGUAGAUAUUCGCAAGAACACCGGUGGCGAAGGCGGCCAACUGGUCCGAAACUGACGCUGAGACGCGAAAGCGAGGGGAGCAAACAGG